GGGCCCCUAUGAUGUCCAGCACUGGGUUUUGACCUCUCAUGAGGAUACUGUGCCCCCUGGGACCUUUGACACCCAAGGGUCUGAGGGGCCC
ensembl:snoRNA small nucleolar RNA SNORD88